rnacentral:rRNA from 1 species
ACUCCUACGGGAGGCAGCAGUAAGGAAUAUUGCGCAAUGGACGAAGGUCUGACGCAGCGACGCCGCGUGGGGGAUGAAGGUCUUCGGAUUGUAAACCCCUUUCGGGAGGGAAGAUGGAGUGGGUAACCACUUGGACGGUACCUCCAGAAGCAGCCACGGCUAACUUCGUGCCAGCAGCCGCGGUAAUACGAAGGUGGCAAGCGUUGUUCGGAUUCACUGGGCGUACAGGGAGCGUAGGCGGUUGGGUAAGCCCUCCGUGAAAUCUCCGGGCCUAACCCGGAAAGUGCAGAGGGGACUGCUCAGCUAGAGGAUGGGAGAGGAGCGCGGAAUUCCCG